AACGUGUUUCUUUGCUCGCAAGCUGCACAGGUUCUGCACGUGUUCUUGAGAUUCUCGCGUCGCACGUGGUGCGCAAUCGAGGAUUUUUUUUUUCGUGGCAGCAAUUUAGUAAAAGGGCAGCGUCUGCUCAGCCAUGUAGCCGAUGCGAAGCAAGUUGUAGCAGACGACGCCGUCCUCGUCAAAGCGAAGUGCGUUUCGCAAGUGAAAGACUACGCUGUUUACGACGGGGAGUUAGAGGUUCCAGGUUCCGCAACGAAGCUGCCGUGUCUCGUAGACAGCCUGUACCACAGCCUCAAGCUGGAUCUCAGAACAGCCUUCACUGAAGUGCAAAGAGCACACCACCCCGUGGCUCGUGUCCCUCAGAACACCCAGCACUUUCUACCACGUCCGCUUCAAAUCAUUCUCGGAUGGAAAAUCAUAGAACGAUGUCGACAAGGAGACAGAGCUCCCACUGCCGUUUGGGUUCCAGGCACUACACAACAACACCUCCUCUGUGUCAUGGUCUACACCACUGGUUCAACCUAGAAGCACAAAUAAUGAGAAGGGUGUUACAACAGCAAUAACAUAAGGUGAGGUACUUGCAGCACUUCGAGUAAUGCUAGCUUCUCAUGCUUUAUGUGUAUUGUAGGGAUGUGCGAAUAGUAAAUUUUAGGUUUGAAGCUAAUUCUCAGCAAACAGUGAAUUGAUUGAAUAAUUUCAAAUCAAGUGGGUUGAAAGGAAUAUGAAGGAAGUAAGUGUAAACUUAGGGGCUGUGUUUUUUUUUCUUUAGACACAAUAAUAAUGACUAACAGACAAUAAUGUCAACGAAAGCAUAGGGGAUGUUAUAGAUAGUUAUUGUUAUGUGAAUGUGAAGAAAUAAAAGUGGACAAAAAGA